GUCCUUUUACGGGGACAUCCUGGGCUCUGUCCUUUUUAUCUUUUUCGGAUUUUUUCUGUUCAAUCGCAUGAAUGAUUAACCCACAUAGUGAAAGAAAAUCAAGAAAAUGGUUUUCCCAUCAGUAAUUAUGGAAGCAAAGCAUGGAAUGUACAUGGGGUCUUCAGUUUUAUGAACAAUUUCUUAAUUUUUUAUGUUUUUAAUUCAUUGGAAGCAGAGUUACAGAACUUUCCAUCUAAAUUAUAGGAGAGGAUUCAAUUGGCCAUUGACGUCCAAGACUUGGACCUUUUAGUUAAUUCCUUUAUUGAUAGAGAAUAACAUAUUUCUCAAAUGCUGAGCUUUACUAGGGCAAGAACUCAGCAGAGAUCUAAUAGAUCUAUGUCUUUAGGAGGCAUGGAUUAUGCCGACCCGAAGAAGAAGAGCAAUAUACUAGGAAAAAUUCUAAUGGCUGCUACCCUCACAGCAAUGUGUAUUCUUAUGCUCAAGCAAUCCCCAAAUUUUAAUUCCCCUAGCCAAGUAACUCUCUAGUCCCUUAUCAUUUUCAGUGCUUGGUUUUGUUGUUAAGCUUUCUGAGAAAGAAAAAAAGAUUGAAUUACCUGUUCCUUAAAAUUGUUAUCACUAUGCGUUGUUUGAAAAAACAUCGAGGCUUACGCAUCGAAUCCCACCUCUCAUGAGGCUAUCAUAAAAUGCCUCAAAACCAGCACCUUGAAUGCCAUUUGUGAGGCUUAUGCCUCAAUUUGCUAAGGCUAAUGCCUCAAGCACGAGCCUUACGCCAACUAAGGUGUUUGCCCCUAUUUUCAAACAUUUAAUUGUCGACGGUAGCUUUUUGAGUUAUUUCUUUAUAAGUUGAUAACUAAAAUAUUUUUCGCACUCUUUUAUUUUGUUUUUUCUACCUACAUGGAAGAAAAUGAGGAGGAGAAUAUACCAGUGCACUUAGAGGAUGAUGACAAAAAAUGAAAAGAAACGUGUAAUGAGGAUGCAGAUGUUAAUGACUCCCUUGACGAUAAUAUUAGUAGUGAAGAUAUAUGAAAUUCUUGAGUUGUCUCCAUUUUUAGUAAUAAAUUAAAUUUUGUUGCACAAGACGACGGAAACAAAUUUAGAUAGCCCUAUGUGGCUUCUAGAUCUACUUGUUAUUGUAUUUGAGAACUUAUUAUUUUCUAUGUUCUUGAUCUAUUUUAACUUUGUUUGCAACUUAGACUUUUGAUUUUGUUGGUUAUUGACCUCGGAUUUUGUACCUCUAGUGUGGCCAACAGAUCCCAAGGUUUCUCAUGUCCACACAAGCUUGAUUUUUGCACACUUUGACAAACCGUUAGCCAUACGUGGCUUUCUGGGGGGUAAAGUUGGUUGUGCGCACUCUGAUGAUUAAGUCAAUUGUAGUAGUAUAUAUUGGUGUGGGAGGUGUUUUAGACGCGAGCCUCCAAUAUAAAAAGGCGGUUGGCUUUGUGGCAUUUUGUGAUAAUAAUAGUGAGGAUAGCAGAGUUGUAGUUUGAGAGUCUGAACUUGUAUUACCUUUGGAAUGUCACUUUAUGUGAGAUUUUAUAAUAGAAUAGGAUCAAUGUCGAUUGUAAAAUGAAAGGAUACGUGGCCUCAUCUGUGCGGCUAAGACCUCUUGUUAAAGCUAUCAAUUAAUCAUAAGUAUUGAAUGCUAAUACCAUUUUGUUGCCCAUAAAUCUGACACAUGACUUAGUAAUGACCUGAUUUGCUGGAUAGGGAGGUGGUAGCA